rnacentral:rRNA from 1 species
GAUGAACGCUGGCGGCGUGCCUAAUACAUGCAAGUCGGACGGGGUAUUUGAGUAAUCGAAUACUUAGUGGCGAACGGGUGAGUAACGCGUUGGUGACCUACCCCAAAGCGGGGGAUAACAACCUGAAAGGGUUGCUAAUACCGCAUAUGGUUGAGAGAGACUAGAAGCUCUCAAUUAAAGGAGCAAUCCACUUUGGGAGGGGCCUGCGUCCCAUCAGCUAGUUGGUAGGGUAAAAGCCUACCAAGGCGAUGACGGGUAGGGGACCUGAGAGGGUGACCCCCCACAAUGGAACUGAAACACGGUCCAUACACCUACGGGUGGCAG